GAUGAACGCUAGCGGCAGGCUUAACACAUGCAAGUCGAGGGGUAUAGUUUUCGGAACUAGAGACCGGCGCACGGGUGCGUAACGCGUAUGCAAUCUACCUUUUGCAGAGGGAUAGCCCAGAGAAAUUUGGAUUAAUACCUCAUAGUAUAGCGACAUCGCAUGAUGAUGCUAUUAAAGUCACAACGGCAAAAGAUGAGCAUGCGUCCCAUUAGCUAGUUGGUAAGGUAACGGCUUACCAAGGCAACGAUGGGUAGGGGUCCUGAGAGGGAGAUCCCCCACACUGGUACUGAGACACGGACCAGACUCCUACGGGAGGCAGCAGUGAGGAAUAUUGGACAAUGGGCGCAAGCCUGAUCCAGCCAUGCCGCGUGCAGGAUGACGGUCCUAUGGAUUGUAAACUGCUUUUAUACAGGAAGAAACACUGGUUCGUGAACCAGCUUGACGGUACUGUAAGAAUAAGGAUCGGCUAACUCCGUG
rnacentral:rRNA from 1 species